GGAGAGGUGCUGGAGUCCGGUCGAUCAGGACGGUCUCGAAAACCGUUGUCCCGUAAGGGACCGUGGGUUCAAAUCCCACCCUCUCCGCCA
rnacentral:tRNA from 2 species